GACGAACGCUGGCGGCGUGCUUAACACAUGCAAGUCGAACGAUGAAGCCGGAGCAUGCUCUGGUGAAUUAGUGGCGAACGGGUGAGUAACACGUGAGUAACCUGCCCUUGACUCUGGGAUAACUGCGGGAAACUGUAGCUAAUACCGGAUACGACCCUCGGAGGCAUCUCCUGGGGGUGGAAAGAAUUUCGGUCAAGGAUGGACUCGCGGCCUAUCAGCUAGUUGGUGAGGUAAAGGCUCACCAAGGCGACGACGGGUAGCCGGCCUGAGAGGGUGACCGGCCACACUGGGAAUGAGACACGGCCCAGACUCCUACGGGAGGCAGCAGUGGGGAAUAUUGCACAAUGGGCGCAAGCCUGAUGCAGCAACGCCGCGUGAGGGAUGACGGCCUUCGGGUUGUAAACCUCUUUUAGCAGGGAAGAAGCGAAAGUGACGGUACCUGCAGAAAAAGCACCGGCUAACUACGUGCCAGCCGCCGCUGUAA
rnacentral:rRNA from 1 species